rnacentral:lncRNA from 1 species
AAUAAUUUCCUGUGUUUCUUUAAUUUCAUACAACUAUGCCUACGAUUUAUACAGUCAAGACAGGGAAUGGAACAAGUCUUCAUUGUUUUUAACACCACUAAUUGGCACUCUCCGAUUAGAGCCGGCUCUCCUCUGUCCUCCUCUUGCCUUAAAAAUACUCCAAUCCAACCUCCUCCUCCAAUUCCUCUAUUCAUGGGUUCAUCUUUCCCUAGUACCCAUC